rnacentral:rRNA from 1 species
UGUAUUUAUUAGAUAAAAAACCAAUGCCCUUCGGGGCUUUUUGGUGAUUCAUGAUAACUUUACGGAUCGCAUAGCCUUGCGCUGGCGACGGUUCAUUCAAAUUUCUGCCCUAUCAACUUUCGAUGGUAAGGUAUUGGCUUACCAUGGUUUCAACGGGUAACGGGGAAUUAGGGUUCGAUUCCGGAGAGGGAGCCUGAGAAACGGCUACCACAUCCAAGGAAGGCAGCAGGCGCGCAAAUUACCCAAUCCCGACACGGGGAGGUAGUGACAAUAAAUACUGAUACAGGGCUCUUUUGGGUCUUGUAAUUGGAAUGAGUACAAUUUAAACCUCUUAACGAGGAACAAUUGGAGGGCAAGUCUGGUGCCAGCAGCCGCGGUAAUUCCAGCUCCAAUAGCGUAUAUUAAAGUUGUUGCAGUUAAAAAGCUCGUAGUUGAAAACUUGGGCCUGGCUGGCGGGUCCGCCUCACCGCGUGCACUCGUCCGGCCGGGC